rnacentral:rRNA from 1 species
UACGGAGGGUGCAAGCGUUGUCCGGAUUUAUUGGGUUUAAAGGGUGCGUAGGCGGCCCGUUAAGUCAGUGGUGAAAGCCUCCAGCUCAACUGGAGAACUGCCAUUGAUACUGGCGGGCUUGAGUACUGACGAGGUUGGCGGAAUUGAUUGUGUAGCGGUGAAAUGCAUAGAUACAAUCAAGAACACCGAUUGCGUAGGCAGCUAACUAGGCUGUAACUGACGCUGAGGCACGAAAGCGUGGGGAGCGAACAGG